rnacentral:siRNA from 1 species
CGAAAGUACGGUACGUUGCA